AGGGGAGUAGCUCAAUUGGUAGAGUGGCGGUCUCCAAAACCGUAGGUCGCAGGUUCGAGCCCUGUCUCCCCUG
rnacentral:tRNA from 1 species